rnacentral:rRNA from 1 species
GAUGAACGCUGGCGGCGUGCCUAAUACAUGCAAGUCGAGCGAACAGACGAGGAGCUUGCUCCUCUGACGUUAGCGGCGGACGGGUGAGUAACACGUGGAUAACCUACCUAUAAGACUGGGAUAACUUCGGGAAACCGGAGCUAAUACCGGAUAAUAUAUUGAACCGCAUGGUUCAAUAGUGAAAGACGGUUUUGCUGUCACUUAUAGAUGGAUCCGCGCCGCAUUAGCUAGUUGGGAAGGUAACGGCUUACCAAGGCGACGAUGCGUAGCCGACCUGAGAGGGUGAUCGGCCACACUGGAACUGAGACACGGUCCAGACUCCUACGGGAGGCAGCAGUAGGGAAUCGUCCGCAAUGGGCGAAAGCCUGACGGAGCAACGCCGCGUGAGUGAUGAAGGUCUUCGGAUCGGAAAACUCUGUUAUUAGGGAAGAACAAAUGUGUAAGUAACUAUGCACGGCUUGACGGUACCUAAUCAGAAAGCCACGGGUAGCUAGGUG